rnacentral:rRNA from 1 species
UACGUAGGCAGCGAGCGUUGUUCGGAGUUACUGGGCGUAAAGGGUGUGUAGGCGGUUGUUUAAGUUUGGUGUGAAAUCUCCCGGCUCAACCGGGAGGGUGCGCCGAAUACUGAAUGACUUCGAGUGCGGGAGAGGAAAGUGGAAUUCCUGGUGUAGCGGUGAAAUGCGUAGAUAUCAGGAGGAACACCUGUGGUGUAGACAGCUUACUGGACCACGACUGACGCUGAGACACGAAAGCGUGGGUAGCAAACAGG